rnacentral:rRNA from 1 species
CCUACGGGUGGCAGCAGUGGGGAAUAUUGGACAAUGGGCGAAAGCCUGAUCCAGCCAUGCCGCGUGUGUGAAGAAGGCCUUCGGGUUGUAAAGCACUUUCAGUGGGGAAGAAAGCCUUGGGGCUAAUACCCUCGAGGAAGGACAUCACCCCCAGAAGAAGCACCGGCUAACUCCGUGCCAGCAGCCGCGGUAAUACGGAGGGUGCGAGCGUUAAUCGGAAUUACUGGGCGUAAAGCGCGCGUAGGCGGUCUGAUAAGCCGGUUGUGAAAGCCCCGGGCUCAACCUGGGAACGGCAUCCGGAACUGUCAGGCUAGAGUGCAGGAGAGGAAGGUAGAAUUCCCGGUGUAGCGGUGAAAUGCGUAGAGAUCGGGAGGAAUACCAGUGGCGAAGGCGGCCUUCUGGACUGACACUGACGCUGAGGUGCGAAAGCGUGGGUAGCAAACAGGAUUAGAUACCCUAGUAGUC